UGGUGGUUGUAUUCACAGCCAAACGCGAACUGGUGCUCGAUGGAUGUUUGGCAAGAUCAGUGCUUGCAAUUGUUGCCCUGUUCGUCAGUCACGCUCUGUUUAUCAAGCAAUACACUGAACAUCAGAUUGCAAUGGCCGCUGCCAAAGUAUUAGCAGGAGAAGAUGUAUUUUUAACAGUAGACGUAUGUUGUGUCGCACAUACACUGUACUGACUACAGCAAGGUAAUAAAACAAGACCAUCAGCUGUUGUGUGAAAGGAUAUAAGAAUAGAAGAAUCGGCCAAUCAGAAGACGUUAUAAGUUUGCAAUAUACCGUCUGGACACACAUUGGUAGUAAAACGUAGACUUAAGAAUGGAGUAAAUUUUUAAACAGAACAGAUUGGUAACACUGAACAGACUGGUAACAACGAACAGACUGGGAACACUGAAUAAACAAGUAAUUCUCCUCACAAAAAGUUUAUUCUCUGCAUUUUAUAUCUGGUAAAAUGAUGGGGGAACAAUAUUUUCAGAUAUGUCUAGAUAUGUUAACCUAUUCAGGGAAUUUCUACAUAUGGUAUAUCUAUCUGGAUUUCUCAUUAACUGUUGAGAAAGUGAAGCGAGCUCCCCACAGUCACACCUUCUGGUUUUUAAAUAAUUUGUGAUGACUGAAUAUCCCUCAAAAUAGCAUAAGAAAGUCCUUGGUCUGUACCUGAAUAAAUCGUUAUUCCAGAAGAAAUGGCUAUUCCAGAAGACAACCAUGAACAAGGAAAAGAAGAGGGCGAGGAGAGUGAAGAAGAGAGAGAGAUGGGGUUUAACUUCAACUUGUUCUAAAAGCACGACGUUUCGACAAGUAUCCUCUUAUCGUUAUCAAGCACGUGCUUGAUAACGAUAAGAGGAUACUUGUCGAAACGUCGUGCUUUUAGAAUAAACCAGUGAUUGUUUCCCAUAAAAAUUGUGUUCUAUUAAAGUAGGUGUUAUUUGACUCUACAGAAAGUGUAGUUAAAGAUACAAUAUGAUCGCAAGGACCAUAGUAUUACAAUAACUUGAGUAAGAAAAAAAAAAAAUGAGAUUGGAUUUACGUCUUACUUUUCUUCACAAUCCGGGCAAACGAAGAAGGGCAUACUUUGACGGGCAUGCCAAUGUGUACACGGGACAUCUGUUUUCCGUCUCAUCCGAAUGCCUAGACACUGUUCCUUGCCAGGCCAUCUGUCCCGCACCACUGACAAGGCUGAACCACACGGAAAAUAAUGAACAAUAAAUUACAUAGCUAUAUGGAUGUCAGUUGGUUGUAUUAGCUCUGAAGUGGGUAAGACGCUGACUCGCUAGCCUCGAGGUCGGGUGAUCGAUCCCUGCAUUGGCCGAGAAAGUUCAUCCAGAUUCCCCCUUGUCAGUGAUGCAGGACGGAGGGCCUGACAAGGACAGCUGUCUAGUCGUUCGGAUGGGACGAAAAACCGAGGUCCCGUGUACAUAUUGGUGUGUACGUAAAAGAUCCCUUGACAGUUGGAAUUCGAUAUAAGAGCAGGCCGUAGUGCCGCUGUCCGGGCAAAAUUUCCCUCAUAGCACACUGUUUGGUGUAUGCCCGUCUUCAUUAGCCCAGUUCGGAGCAAAACAGUAGGACGUUAAACCCCAUUUCAUUUCAUUUUGUUUCCAUGAUAAUUUUCUCCAUCAUUAUGAAACAAUACAUUUUGCAUUAAAAUUAAAGUAUAAAUAACAUUUUUCCUAAUGUUAACAAUAAUGUGCUUGAUAACGAAAAGAAGGUCAAAACCUUGUAACAACAUAUUUUAUUUAAUAUGACGAUAACUAAACACGAUUUAAAAAAACGGGAAAUAAAUCAAAAUGGAAUGAAAUGGGGUUUAAGAUCCUAUUUUUCUGCACCAACUGGGCUAAUGAAGACGGACAUACGCCAUAUAGCGUGCUAUGAGCUAAAUUUUGCCCAGACAGCGGCGCUAUUCUUAUUUCGAAUUCCAUCUGCCGAGCGUUCUUUUAUGUGCAUGCCAAGUUUUUUGUUCCACCCGAACAACUAGAUGCUGAUCGAAUCCAAGACCUGGGCCCGGUUCCUAGAAAAUUCUUAAAGUAAGCACAACGUCAUGUGCUUCACUUUUUCUUACGUAAGAAACUUAAUACCGUCCCUAGACCAUUCUUACGUAAGCACAAGUCAAGUAUAAGUCCAAGCACAUUGUGACUGGUAAAGUUUACCAUAAACUGAGAUUACGAUGCUCUUUAACGUCAUAAAAACAACUUUGGUAUGCGAAUUACGUCAUAAAUUUAUCGUCUGCUUCAUUGACGUCAUAUAUAAUAUACGGUUGAUUUAGAUGCAUUUGACAUGUCCCCUAUACACAUAUAAAAUGUGCCACAAAAUAAAAAACACAGACACAUACAAACUAAAUGAAUAAUUGUGAGAGCGCCUGAUCUUAAAGUAGCCCGUGUGUUUGUAGCCUAUUGUUUACUAAUUGGCAAAUAAAUAAAAUGGUUUCAGGGUAGAAGCGAAAUUUUCUAUAGCAUUCUUAAUUUCUUCUGGAGAAGGAUUUUCUCUGUCUUGUAAUAAUUGUCUGUUUGGUAUCAAAAGGUGUCGGAAAUGCCGUCGAAAAACUCUACGGUCAGCCAUCUUUUUGUAGCAGAAACAGACUUAAGGUUGGUAAGCAAGCCGUAUACCUUGCUUGGGACUUGUGCUUAGAUUGACUAUGUUUAAGAACGAAGUUGUGCUUAAGUUUUUUCUUGGAACGCAUAAUAACGUUCUUGUGCUUACAAUGAAGUCUACUUAAAAUCUUAGCACAAGAACGUUUUUAAGAAUUGUCUGGGAACACAAAAUAAGGUAAGUUUACUUAAAUGCAAAGUCUACUUAAAUCUAAGCACAAGAACGUGCUUAAGAAUUUUCUAGGAAUCGGGCCCUGGUUAACAAGCCAGUGUCUUACUCACUGAGCCACAGUGGCUCCCUGUCACAUACAAUGUCAGACACAAUUCCACUGGUGCAUGUCAUGUCUAGUAGUAAUCUAGCUAAUUUCAGAAGAUUGGAAAGAAAAAUAAAUUAACGGAUGAUUUUAUGAAGUUUAUAAUAUUUACUGAUUCUUUCCGUCAUGUUACAAUUUUUGUAUCCUAUUUAGGCUAGCAAAUUAACGCAAUUUAUCUGUUUGUAUU